UACGGAGGAUGCAAGCGUUAUCCGGAAUGAUUGGGCGUAAAGGGUCCGCAGGUGGCAGUGUAAGUCUGCUGUCAAAGAAUGAGGCUUAACCUUAUCAAGGCAGUGGAAACUACACAGCUAGAGUACGGUCGGGGUAGAAGGAAUUCCUGGUGUAGCGGUGAAAUGCGUAGAGGUACAGGAAGAACGACCGGUGGCGAAAGCGUUCUGCUAGACCUGUACUGACACUGAGGGACGAAAGCUAGGGGAGCGAAUGGG
rnacentral:rRNA from 1 species